GUCUUCUUCCCCUUCCGGCUCUGUGCGGCAUAAGUCUGAGCCAUCCUGGAUGCGAGGGAGAUGCUGGUGGUCGUGAGACCUUCAUGAUAGUAUCAGCGGGUGUUUCCACCGAGCUUCAAGGCUGACCGAGGUGAUGGUGCUGGGCUCUGCGCUGACCCCUUGAACCAACGAAAUCUUCCAGUCUGAAAACAAAGCAGCAAAACACAAGCAGUCAGUGGUGAGCUCUGGGACUUCAGCCAUGCCCGGUCUGGCUGGAAGGCUGCGAACCUUGAGGUUACCAGGAAGACGGAGGCCCUCGUGAUUAACCCUACAUGCUCCGUGACUUCACCCGGUGACCAAGGAGCCAGGUCCUUCUGUGGCCCCAGUUGCGGACACAACUCCUGGGAUCCAGACCCCUGGGUCCUCCUUCGUGCCCGCUCCCUUUGGAAAGGUUCUGAAAGCGCAGUUUCACACCGCGGCAGCAUCCCGGCAUCGUAAAAUGUCAGCGUGCAGGUUUCCGUGAAGAAACAAGAGCCUGGCUUGCUUCCUCGGGGCUCUGUCUCCGUGCAACUCUUCUUCUGCUGCAGCUGGCAUCUACAGAGAGGGAGGGGUGUGACAGGGCUCCCUUUGAUGUGAAUGGCAGCCCUGGACCAGGAGGAGAUCUCCGAGGGGAAGAAGCGGAGGGAGAAAGAGGCUGCUGACUUCAGGCUCUUGAUGCACAGCCGGGCGAAUGAGAACUGCAGGGGCUGCUCUGCAUGUCCCCCAGCACCGCGGCAGUGCUAGGGGCAUGUGCCUUAGUACCCUUGUGUGCACACCAGGAACAGCGCUUGCAGAAGGGGCAGCUUCUUAUCAGAGACUCUGAUAACUUCUCAGAAACUUCUGGAAACUGGAGAAAUAGCAUCUCAUCGGGUGCAUGAUGGUUUUGUGGAGAAAAGAAUCCUGCACACCAUUUUCUGCAGAGGUGAAUCAUGAAGGUGGUGUUUGACCCAAAAAACGUGUUAGUAGCCAAGCUGAAUUCACAGCUCAUUGUGUCAGCUGGUACCCCCUCUCACACAGGAGGACGAGGACGUCGCUGUCCCGGAGCAGCAGGACAUGGGCGCCUGGGAGAGCUGUCCAUCCUGUCGCAGCUGCAGGCUCCUGGCCUUUGGUAUGCUAGAAGAGGAUUUAAGGCAGUCAAGGUGUCCCCCACCCUGCACAUUCAUCUUUCAUUUAUUCAUGGAUUUUCCUGAAAACACUUAGACAGUAUAAGAGAGGAACGUGUGAGUUGUGGCUCUGAACCUGAAAACUAAAUUGGAUCCUACAUUCCCUCCUCCAUGUCAGGUUGAAAACAGAUCUUGUGGAUCACACUGUUUGGUGCUGAGCUCGAGGUCUGAACCGUAGGCCAACAAUCUGAAUAUAAAAACAAAGCAUGCGAUCAUAGAAAGCCACAGAACAGUGUUACUGCUUCUUCUGGGAAGGAAGUUUCUGGUUUGUUAUUUUGAGAGACGAAUUGUGCAUUUAAAAAGGUUCUGUACCAACUCCUUUUGGACAGCUGUCUGUGAAAUCCAACAGGAGGCCAUCUCCACUUUUUAUUUUGUCAAAUGCACGGCUAUUCCCACGACACUGGCGGGGGUGCGAGGGGCGGAGGCGUCUUUACCCCUCCACAACGUAACAGGGAAAUGAAAGGCACAUCUGUAAAUA